GACGAACGCUGGCGGCGUGCCUAAUACAUGCAAGUAGAACGGUGAAGGAGGAGCUUGCUUCUCUGGAUGAGUUGCGAACGGGUGAGUAACGCGUAGGUAACCUGCCUGGUAGCGGGGGAUAACUAUUGGAAACGAUAGCUAAUACCGCAUAAGAGUAGAUGUUGCAUGACAUUUGCUUAAAAGGUGCAAUUGCAUCACUACCAGAUGGACCUGCGUUGUAUUAGCUAGUUGGUGGGGUAACGGCUCACCAAGGCGACGAUACAUAGCCGACCUGAGAGGGUGAGCGGCCACACUGGGACUGAGACACGGCCCAGACUCCUACGGGAGGCAGCAGUAGGGAAUCUUCGGGAAUGGGCGGAAGUCUGACCGAGCAACGCCGCGUGAGUGAAGAAGGUUUUCGGAUCGUAAAGCUCUGUUGUAAGAGAAGAAAGAGUGUGAGAGUGGAAAGUUCACACUGUGACGGUAUCUUACCAGAAAGCGCCGGCUAACUACGUG
rnacentral:rRNA from 1 species